GGAGUGCAUACAGAUGGAAAAUCGAACUAAUGGUGGAUUUGUACAAAACUAGGCAAAGUGGCUAGAUUUUAAACUUGGCUGUUGGGUGCCAGCAUAAGUUUCGGAAAGUACAACUUGCAGGCUCACUAGAUGUAGGAUGCAACUACCCAAUUACAACUGCAAGGUUCAAAGGUUCCUAUUUUUCAGGUAGUUACAUGCUACACCCAAGCCUGCAAUUUGGAUUUGAAACUGUAAAUUGUCACAGAAGUUCUCCCAGUUUCUUUGGCUAAAAUACUAUCUUUGUUGCAAUAUUUCUGUUUCUCAGUGUGAUCGACCGCCUGCAAAAUGUGGAAGCAAAUCUUAUCGCCCAAACCUGAAAGCUAAUUUUGCAUCUCUUAAUGGCUGUUGCCACCCAAAAUUGCAUUGUAAUCAUUGAUAAAAAUUAUUUAUUUCCGUUAUUCAUGCAGAUUUUAUUCCCAAUUUCAUGUCCAUGACCCAUUCCCACAGUUUCCAAUAUAGAAGCUGCCACCUAGUGAUUUUGACUGCCUCUAGAAUAUACAAUCGCGGGUCAUUACCAGGGGCGUCGGAGAGGCUCUAAAAGUGGGGGGAGGCGCACUUAGCGCCCGCCUUUGGCGGGUGACAUUCAAAGGGGUCCGGGGACAUGCCACCCGAAAAAAAAUUAAAACUAGAGUCUCUGAAAUGCCAUUUCCUGCACUUUAGAAGGAGAUUUGCAGAGUUCUAAAGGUAACAAAAUGUCAUCUUUGUGGUUUAUUACUGACCAUUGUUAAAAAGUGUGGGGGGGGAAUACAUUUAGGCCCCCCAGCUAAAAAGUUCCGACGCCCCUGGUUAUUACUCAAAAUCAUAGCACAAUUUUACAAGAG
rnacentral:lncRNA from 1 species